CCUACGGGAGGCUGCAGUGAGGAAUAUUGGUCAAUGGGCGAGAGCCUGAACCAGCCAAGUCGCGUGAAGGAUGACGGCCCUACGGGUUGUAAACUUCUUUUGUCAGGGAGUAAUUGAGUCCACGUGUGGGCUUAGCGAGAGUAUCUGAAGAAAAAGCAUCGGCUAACUCCGUGCCAGCAGCCGCGGUAAUACGUAGGGGGCAAGCGUUAUCCGGAAUCACUGGGUGUAAAGGGAGCGUAGACGGCUGAGCAAGCCUGAAGUGAAAGUCUGGGGCCCAACCCCUGAACUGCUUUGGGAACUGGACGGCUGGAGUGCAGGAGAGGUAAGUGGAAUUCCUAGUGUAGCGGUGAAAUGCGUAGAUAUUAGGAGGAACACCAGUGGCGAAGGCGGCUUACUGGACUGUAACUGACGUUGAGGCUCGAAAGCGUGGGGAGCAAACAGGAUUAGAUACCCCUGUAGUC
rnacentral:rRNA from 1 species